GCGUGCUUAACACAUGCAAGUCGAGCGGUAAGGCCCUUCGGGGUACACGAGCGGCGAACGGGUGAGUAACACGUGGGUGAUCUGCCUCGUACUUCGGGAUAAGCUCGGGAAACUGGGUCUAAUACCGGAUAUGACCUGCUAGUGCAUGCUGGUGGGUGGAAAGAUUUAUCGGUGCGAGAUGGGCCCGCGGCCUAUCAGCUUGUUGGUGGGGUAAUGGCCCACCAAGGCGACGACGGGUAGCCGACCUGAGAGGGUGACCGGCCACACUGGGACUGAGACACGGCCCAGACUCCUACGGGAGGCAGCAGUGGGGAAUAUUGCACAAUGGGCGGAAGCCUGAUGCAGCGACGCCGCGUGAGGGAUGACGGCCUUCGGGUUGUAAACCUCUUUCGACAGGGACGAAGCGUGAGUGACGGUACCUGUAGAAGAAGCACCGGCCAACUACGUGCCAGCAGCCGCGGUAAUACGUAGGGUGCGAGCGUUGUCCGGAAUUACUGGGCGUAAAGAGCUUGUAGGCGGUUUGUCGCGUCGUCUGUGAAAACUCACAGCUCAACUGUGAGCUUGCAGGCGAUACGGGCAGACUUGAGUACUUCAGGGGAGACUGGAAUUCCUGGUGUAGCGGUGAAAUGCGCAGAUAUCAGGAGGAACACCGGUGGCGAAGGCGGGUCUCUGGGAAGUAACUGACGCUGAGAAGCGAAAGCGUGGGUAGCGAACAGGAUUAGAUACCCUGGUAGUCCACGCCGUAAACGGUGGGUACUAGGUGUGGGUUUCCUUCCACGGGAUCCGUGCCGUAGCUAACGC
rnacentral:rRNA from 1 species